AGAGAGAAGCAAGAAGGAAAAGAAGAAGAUUUGAGAGAAAGGUUCUGUAUUGAUUUGUUCAAGAUUGAGAGAGAGGUUUAGAUGAUAAAAGGGAGAUUUUCUUUUGAUUUCGGUAUUUUGGCUCAGCAGAGGGUCAGGAAAGAGACGAGGAAGGAGGUAAAAAUCAAGAGCAAGAGAAGCUUUGUAUAGCAAGUGUAAAUCAUGGAUGGAGAUGGCUAUGAAUUGAAGGUUCAGGAGUUUGAUUGCAUUUCAAUUUGUACUGGCAAGGAGGACUCAAAUUCAAGGUGCUCUGGAGUGUCGAAAGUGCUACUGAAUUCCCACCUCGAAGAGCAAUCAUUUACAUCCGUUGUGUCUUGAGUUGUAUCUAAUUUGUCUGCCAGAGUUGUGCCUCUUCUUGGGUUUCUAAUAUAAAACUCUCUAACUAUUUUAACUGCCUCCUUCCAAGCUCUCUCUUCGUCAGGAGUUGCAUUUCCUUCAGUAGCAUCUUGAUGUUGCUCACGACUUUUGGUUAAGAAAAUUAGGGAUAGAAAUAGACAGAUGGUUGAAGUGGCAAAAGAUAUUAGAUAGAGAACCCCGAAGCUUUGGAGGCCCAAGCUUUCAGGUUCGCUGGAAGUUGUGUUGGUUGAGCAUUCAUGUGAGGGAGUCAACCAUUCAUCCUCAAGAAACUUUGUCUCUCCUUUCUCUGAUAGCUUUAAAAUUGCUUUAGAAAAAUCCCUUGCAAUUGGCGAGCCUUUCGGGAAGACCUGUGUGGGAAGCAAAAUAAGUUAUCUAUUGUAUUCUUUAGAAGAAG